rnacentral:rRNA from 1 species
CCUACGGGAGGCAGCAGUGAGGAAUAUUGGACAAUGGGCGAAAGCCUGAUCCAGCCAUGCCGCGUGCAGGAAGACGGCCCUAUGGGUUGUAAACUGCUUUUGUACGGGAAGAAACACCCCCACGUGUGGGGGCUUGACGGUACCGUAAGAAUAAGCAUCGGCUAACUCCGUGCCAGCAGCCGCGGUAAUACGGAGGAUGCAAGCGUUAUCCGGAAUCAUUGGGUUUAAAGGGUCCGUAGGCGGGCAAUUAAGUCAGAGGUGAAAGUCUGCGGCUCAACCGUAGAACUGCCUUUGAAACUGGUUGUCUUGAAUCGUUGUGAAGUGGUUAGAAUGAGCAGUGUAGCGGUGAAAUGCUUAGAGAUUGCUCAGAAUACCGAUUGCGAAGGCAGAUCACUAACAACGUAUUGACGCUGAGGGACGAAAGCGUGGGGAGCGAACAGGAUUAGAUACCCUGGUAGUCCACGCCGUAAACGAUGGAUACUAGCUGUCCGGUCUUCGGACUGGGUGGCCAAGCGAAAGUGAUAAGUAUCCCACCUGGGGAGUACGUUCGCAAGAAUGAAACUCAAAGGAAUUGACGG